rnacentral:lncRNA from 1 species
ACUACACGACGUUCGUCCGACCGGGGCCCAUCGCUUGGCGCUAGAAGCGUGGACAAGUCAUUGGUCCGCUUCCCGCUCCACCGAGUAAGUAAAGAAACGAUGAGAGUAGUGGUAUUUCACUGGCGGCCACGAGGACCCCGCCGAAACGA